AUCUUUCUUUCUUUUUGAACUAUUCUCUAAAACUUUCAAAUAUAAUCUUUCGUAAUUUGUGAGUAGGAAGUAAUAAAAUUCCAAUGAGCUAGUGUAAUAGUCCUGUUUUUAAGAACGUUUAUUUAAAUGUUAAUUAUAUUCAUUAAGUUAAUUAUGUUUCGGAAAUUCAUAUUUAAUUUGAGUUGGAGUAUGAAUAUUUAUUUUCGUGGUGUUGUAAUAUAUUUACUUAAGUUUAUAAAAUUAUUAUUAUUAAAUUAUUUUGGGUCUUAUGUGCGACUAAAUUGAGCGGUAUUUGGCCAAGCAGGAAACCAAAGUCGAUCUUCCUUCCAUUUAUUUUAGUCGGUCAAUGGGUAAAUAAACCCACCCCAAGUUCCUUCUCUCUCUCGUCCUUUUUCUCAAAAAACCCCAAACCCCAAUUGAUGAAAACCCAAAAACCCUAGACACGUGAAACUCUCUCGCUCACCUUCGCCUGCGCUUCGUUGGCGUUUCUUCCAGGCUCGCCGGAGUUUCCCCCUUAUCGGCGUCGUCUCGCUGUUCUCUUCCUAUCGCCGACGUUCUCUAAGCUCGCUGGAGCUUUCCCGUUCCUCUACUCGCGUCGGUGUUGCGCGUUUUUUCCCUCCUCUUCGUGGUGCUGCUGCACCGCCUUGAGCUCCUUGGUGGUCCUGUCAUUGCCACCGUUUGCUGCUGCGGUGAUGUUGUUGUGAUCGAUGCACCGCUUCCCUAUUUCCCCUGUGUUCGUGUUUUUCUUUCUUUUUUCCCUUAGUGGUGUCGCCACCUGACUAGGUGGUGCCGCCAUUCUGGUUUGGCCACUGCGAGUCGUAGCUCACGGGACCUGUGUUGUUGAUCUGUCACCUCGUCGGAGCUUCGAGCUCCCAUUCCGUGCUUUGUUUUCGUCCCUGCUCAAGUAGAGCAGAGGUAUACACCUCUUGCCUAUUUUUUCUUUAAAUUUCAUAAUUAUGGAAUUAGUGAUCCAAUCCCCAAGUUAUUGUUGUUUAUUGUUGUUGCACAACUGUUAUUAUCUUAUUGUCCUUUUUUUUGUUUCUACUCCAGAAAUCUGUUUGUUCAUGGUGAUGUGUUGUUGGUCAUUGUUGUUGUUGUGAUGGUGGCUGUUGUGGAGUAGUUGUGGUGAUUGUGGUGGAGUUGUUAUGUUGUUGUUGUGUUGAUGUUGGAGUGGUUAUCUUUGAUUUUAAGUUUAAGAGUUACAAAAAUAGAUUUCAUUAGGUUUUAUUCUGAUCGGUGUAGCAGGUUGUUUUGAAAAAGGUUAAUUAGAUUAGUUUCUUCAAUUGAGAUUUUGUGACAAUGGUUUUAGUAAUUAAUUUUAUCAUUGUUAUUGAGGUUAAGAAUUGUUAGGAGUUCAAGAGAAGUGAUGGAGUUAUGAAGCUCUCAAAGUUCUAUUAUGUCAGAGUUAAAGAAUGGAUCGUGUAUGAGGUUUGGUAUCAAAAGCUCGAGAAUUGGAAGUGAAGCAAGAUUAUAAUGUCGUCGAAGAUUAAGGAUUGAGCUUGUAUAUAGAGGAGUUUAUGUAGAAUUACUUACAAUAUAGAUUAUUCUAUUGCCAUGGAAUAUGAGAUUAAAUGACUAUGUAAUUGAAGUCUUAUAUAAAGGAUUUUAUUUUGUGGGCUCAAUAACCCAAAGGUCCA